rnacentral:rRNA from 1 species
GACAGAGGGUGCAAACGUUGUUCGGAAUUACUGGGCGUAAAGCGCGUGUAGGCGGCUCUGCAAGUCGGGUGUGAAAGCCCUCGGCUCAACCGAGGAAGUGCACUCGAAACUGCAGAGCUGGAGUCCCGGAGAGGAUGGUGGAAUUCUCGGUGUAGAGGUGAAAUUCGUAGAUAUCGAGAGGAACACCGGUGGCGAAGGCGGCCAUCUGGACGGUGACUGACGCUGAGACGCGAAAGCGUGGGGAGCAAACAGG